rfam:Schistosoma rodhaini strain Burundi genome assembly, scaffold: SROB_scaffold0008378
GCACUACUGAGGAGUCCUAAAAUAGGACGAAACGGCCGUCCAGUGC